ACACCGUCUUCCCCUCGGCCUCCGGCACGGAACCGUCACCGUCCCGAGCUCCCCCGGCCGCCGCCUCGCCGACGGCAACCUUGAACCCGAGAGGGACUGGGCGGGCUUGAUCUCCGCCGCCGCGCCACUGGCUGCCGCCCGCCGCCGGCCAGCACCCUCUCCGGACCUCUCAGACCAACUGCUCCCAUCCCCGACCGGAGCGCCUGCCGUCCGAUCGCCGGCGGCUAACCCUUGCUCC
rnacentral:lncRNA from 1 species